AGGAUCAACGCUGGCGGCGUGCAUGAGACAUGCAAGUCAAACGGACGAUCAGGGCUUGCCUUGAUCGUUAGUGGCGGACGGCUGAGUAACGCGUGGUGACCUGCCCCGAAGUGGGGAAUAACUGCCCGAAAGGGUGGCUAAUACCGCAUGUGGUGGUGUGUUCAUUCACACCAGUAAAGCCGCAAGGCGCUUCGGGAGGGGCCUGCGUCCGAUUAGCUCGUUGGUGGGGUAACGGCUCACCAAGGCGACGAUCGGUAGGUGGUCUGAGAGGACGAUCACCCAGACUGGGACUGAGACACGGCCCAGACUCCUACGGGAGGCAGCAGUCGGGAAUUUUGCGCAAUGGACGAAAGUCUGACGCAGCAACGCCGCGUGAGGGAUGAGGCCUUCGGGUUGUAACCUCUUUAUCAGGGAAGAUAAUGACGGUACCUGAUGAAUAAGUCACGGCUAACUACGUGCCAGCAGCCGC
rnacentral:rRNA from 1 species